CAACAUCUGGAUUUAGUGAUGUUCAGGAAGGAUUGAAGUUUGGGUUUUCAUAAUUGAGGAACGGGGUGGAGUUAUUAUAUGUUGGUGCUCUAAUUUCAGUUUAAUUGUGAAUUUGGGAAUUAGGGUUGUCUUGUUCUUCACCAAAUCGUGAAAUUAGGAUCCUUGAGUAUCGAUCACAGAUAAAAAAAGGCAAAAAUUGAGGUUAGUCUUGGGGCGAGAUGCUGAACCGAGUCCAGUGAAAGAGGAGAUCGAGAUUCAAUUACUAGAGUAAUUCAGUUUGAGGUAAGUGUUCUUAUCAGUAGAAUUAGCUCAAGUUAAAGAACAAGAAAGGAAAGAUUGAUGAAGAAGAUCUGAGUCAGACAGGAGUAAGUGAUUCAGGCAUGGUAGCUAUUGCGUCGCACUUUUCUUCGACUCGUCGCACUUUUUUUCGGCUUGUCGCUAAUGCGUCGCACAAGGUUCGUACAAUCUUCUAAGAAUUGGUGGUAUAUUUUUAAGAGCCGAGAUGAUUUACUCGGCUUGUCGCACAAGGUUGUAACAAGGUUGUAAGAAUUGGUGGUAUAUUUUUAAGAGCCGAGCUCGGCUUGUCGUACAAGGUUGUAACAAGGUUCUAAGAAUUGGUGGUAUAUUUUUAAGAAGAUAGUGCGACAAAAAAUCACAGGUUCUAAGAAUCGAUGAUUUUACUAGUUCAUGGAAACCAGCCUCUUGUGUAUACAUCACAGGUUUGUUAUAAAAAAAUAUCAUAUUGGUAGUUCAUGUGAAGUUGGGUUUGAGCAUUGAUGAAGAUAGUGCUGAUGCUGAAGCUGAUCCAGAUAUGCCCGAGCUUGUUGAAGAUGAUGUUGAGGGCAGCUAGAUGGAGAAGGUCGACUAAGCCUAUGAUUACUGCUUGGAAGAGUGAUGGUGUUGUUGAAUGAAGAACAUGAAGGGGUUUUGCCUGUGGUUUCAUUGUGGUGGUGGCUGUGAAAGACGUGGAAUUGAUGUUGCUGUGGAAGCUACAGUGGUGGAUUUAUGGAAGAGAUGGUAGUGCUGUAAUUACAGAAACAGAAGGUGAUAGUCUUGCUGUUGGUGUUUGAACUCAGGUGAAAGAAUGGGUUUUGCUGUGGUGGUCUUAAGAGGUUUAAGAAGCUACAGAGAUUGGAGGAAUGAUUGGUUAAAGGUAUGUUAACAGAUUUUGGUGAGGAGAUGCAUUGUCAGUUUCUUGAGAUACUACACAACUUAUUGGGUUGGUUCUCGGCAGGAUCCCUGGUGCAGUUUCCUUCAUUUCUUUGCGCAUAUCUCUUCCUUUUGAUCUUGCUUGGCUUCUAAUUUAGGUUGAUGUACCUUUACUUGUUUGCUUUAUAAUUAAGGUUGAUGUUGUCCUGGAAAAAUCUUUUUUCACUCUCUUUUAUGUGAGAUUUUUUUUCUGCACCUAGGCAUAUUAUUAGUGCAACAUUCUUUUUUCACCAUUUUUAAUGUGACAUUGUUUUUGCACCUUUCAUAAGGUUCCAAAACCGUUUUACCAAUCUUUUGUAGACUGUGGGAUGCAUAUUUUGGCCACUGCGGAGGCUCAGUUGCCAUGGAUACUAAGAUGGGAUGUGAGUGUUGAAUCUUUUUUUCACCAUUUCCAUGUGAAAAAUUGUUUUUGCACUUUUCAGUUGUUGAUCAUGCAUAUGACGCAGUUGUGGUGCAGGACUUAGAGCAGCCAUUGGACUUUCUGAGCAUGGAUUUAAUACUGCUUGUAUUAUGUGAAUGGGAUCCUAUGCUUUACAUUUUACACAUACUUAUUUAUUUGUCUUAGCCUCCCAGUAAGUACAUUUGCAUUUCCCACCCAUAUCAAAGUAAUUUAAUGUCAGAAGUAAGCAUAUGCUUACGGAGCAUGUCUGCAGAAAAGAUUUUGCACCUUUUUCUAUGUGAAAACCUAUUUCUGCACCCUUCUCUGUGUGAACACUUAUUGUUGCACACUUAUUGUUGCACCCUUCUCAAACUCGGAUCACGAAGGAAAAUGAGUCAUUCUUUCGUUGGGGAAGAAAU